CCUACGGGUGGCAGCAGUGAGGAAUAUUGGUCAAUGGGCUUACGCCUGAACCAGCCAAGUCGCGUGAGGGAAGACUGCCCUAUGGGUUGUAAACCUCUUUUGUCAGGGAGCAAAUGGCGCUACGUGUAGCGUUAUCGAUAUUACCUGUAGAAAAAGCAUCGGCUAACUCCGUGCCAGCAGCCGCGUUAAUCCGGAGGAUGCGAGCUUUAUCCGGAUUUAUUGGGUUUAAAGGGUGCGUAGGUGGUUUUAUAUGUUAGCGGUGAAAUUGCGAUGCUCAACAUCGGGACUGCCGCUGAUACUGUAGGCCUAGAGUACGGAUGAGGCAGGCGGAAUGUGUAGUGUAGCGGUGAAAUGCAUAGAUAUUACGAAGAACACCGAUUGCGAAGGCAGCUUGCUAGACCGGAUCUGACACUGAUGCACGAAAGCGUGGGGAUCGAACAGGAUUAGAUACCCUUGUAGUC
rnacentral:rRNA from 1 species